AUAGAUGAAAAAUUGUUUUAUUACUAUUUUACCGAUAUAAUGGCUGGAGCCGGCUUGAAUGGGUAAUGAAGAAAAACUUUAAUAUAAGUUUAACAUAACAGCAAAUGUACAAUGUUUCGACAAGGU